rnacentral:rRNA from 1 species
UACGAAGGGGGCUAGCGUUGUUCGGAAUUACUGGGCGUAAAGGGCGCGUAGGCGGUGUGUCAAGUCAGGCGUGAAAGCCCUGGGCUCAACCCAGGAAGUGCAUUCGAAACUGGCGCGCUUGAAUAUGGAAGAGGGUCGCGGAAUUCCCGGUGUAGAGGUGAAAUUCGUAGAUAUCGGGAGGAACACCAGUGGCGAAGGCGGCGACCUGGGCCAAUAU